UGAAGGCAGACUGACUACACUUGGAUGUAAUAAGUCCUAUGUGACCUUGGGAUUAUGAAGACAACAAUGGUGAGGGAAAGGAAGAGAGAUGGCUGGAAGGAGGCACACAUAAGGACUAGCAGCACAGGGGGAAGGUCUUUUGUAAUCAACAAUAUGGGUGAGAAGUGAUCGUCCACACCAGGAAAGGACAGUGAGGCAGCUGAAGUUCAGAAGGCUCAAUACUGGAGCCACCCCUGCCGCGGGCUCUGGAUUUUGAGCACAAGGACAUGCCCUCCAGCAUGCCUCACUUCCAAGGGAAACCCACUCCAGACCUCUGUGGUCCUUCUUCAAGACAAAUAACUUCCCCUUUCUCUUCAUCACUUCUCCCUUCUCAAAGGAAACUCAGCAAUUCUUUCCUUUCUUCAAAGACUGGCAUCAUAAGACAAUUUUAAAAAUAAUAAGUGAUUUCACUUUGGUUCUAAAACAAAGAGGAUGCUCCCACUGGGUUCUGAGGAGACUCUCGUGGCAGAUAAAUUUCAUGGCAGGUGUAGGGGGACUCAGGGACACCCCCUACAGACUUUGGGAAUUCCAAAGCUAACAGGCCAGGGAGUGUUUCUAGAAGGCCUGGAUUUGUGGCUGGAACCUCUACUUGCUCAGCUCAGAAGAUGUGGGUUCUCUGAAGAAACCAGAGAGCCUGUGGCACAGUAUGCCCUGAACAACUGAGACGUGAAGUUUAUUAGAAGACACAUUUGGCCCACAUUGUGUGCUGGGAAGGGAAGAGCUUAAUGCCAUGGAAAAGCAAAUGAGAGAUUUAAACAGGCUUUGUUUUAUGUGAGAUUUGAAAAUCUUCCCCCACCACCAAAAUGCAAAAGCAAACAAGACAGUUGAACAUUUUGUUUUCAGGCAAAGAUCCUCAUCUUUGGAAGCCAAGACUUUCCAGCAAACAGAGUACCAGACUUUCCAAGGAAACAAACAAGCCAAAAAGUACCAAACUAUUCCAGGACAGCCACAGAGACUCUCUGGAUCUAAAGAGAGAAGAGAGCUGCCACCACACUGAGCCUGGGAGGAAUACUUGCAACAACAGAACCAAAGUAGCUCCAAGAUGAUCUACUGACCUCAUGAAGUGCCUUUCACAACUCCACUAAAAAGCUGCAAGAAACUCUGCUGCCUUUCCCGUCCCUUUCUGGCUUCAUUACACCCAACACUCUCUACGAGAGAAAAUUAAAUAUUUGCUUAUCACU